rnacentral:rRNA from 1 species
GUCUACGUCCAUACCACCCUGAACGCGCCCGAUCUCGUCUGAUCUCGGAAGCUAAGCAGGGUCAGGCCUGGUUAGUACUUGGAUGGGAAAAUAUUUUGAAAUUACUUAAUUGUCUAAGAUU